rnacentral:siRNA from 1 species
AAUGGGUGCACCACCUAGUUGC